CAGAAGCGCGCAGGGGAGUGGCACGGGCAGCUCUCGGUGCCGUGGUGGCACCCAGGGUGACAGCUGCGGCUCCUUGGUGGCCGUGGGACGCGCGCCGCUCCCACCGGCAGCGAGCAGAGCCGCCGCAGAGAGAGGGGCCAGCAGUCCCCCACCUAAGGCCAGUUGCAAAAUGGAAUGACACUAAACAACAGUGACACUUUCCUUCGGCAACUCCACAGAUCUCUAACCAGGAACCACGUACAAUCCACUGAAAAAACCAACAGUAUACUUUUCAACAGGAGCCAACCAGCAAGCCCUCCUCCCACGCUGUGCUAUUUGUGCAAACUACUAGCUCGGAGAAAAAAAGUAGAUACAGAGCUGGUUUACUUCUAGAGAGGUCCCCCUGCCAUCCAGCUAAGAGGUGAGGAAACUAAAUAUAACAAACUUAAAACUACAAUUAUUGUAGGGGAGUUUGCCA
rnacentral:lncRNA from 12 species